GCUAGCGGCAGGCUUAACACAUGCAAGUCGAGGGGCAGCAUUUCUUUUCGGAGAAGAUGGCGACCGGCGCACGGGUGCGUAACGCGUAUGCAACCUACCCUUAACUGUAGGAUAGCCCGGAGAAAUCCGGAUUAAUACUACAUGGUACUAUAAUAUGGCAUCAUAUAAUAGUUAAAGAUUUAUUGGUCAAGGAUGGGCAUGCGUGACAUUAGCUAGUUGGUACGGUAACGGCGUACCAAGGCGACGAUGUCUAGGGGUUCUGAGAGGAAGAUCCCCCACACUGGUACUGAGACACGGACCAGACUCCUACGGGAGGCAGCAGUGAGGAAUAUUGGUCAAUGGGCGAGAGCCUGAACCAGCCAUGCCGCGUGCAGGAAGACGGCCUUCUGGGUUGUAAACUGCUUUUAUACGGGAGCAAAAGGGUCCUGCGGGACACAUUGAGAGUAUCGUAUGAAUAAGCACCGGCUAACUCCGUGCCAGCAGCCGCGGUAAUACGGAGGGUGCAAGCGUUGUCCGGAUUUAUUGGGUUUAAAGGGUGCGUAGGCGGCGUAAUAAGUCAGUGGUGAAAGCCGGCAGCUCA
rnacentral:rRNA from 1 species